rnacentral:rRNA from 1 species
UCUAGUGAUUAUGGCAUAGAGGAAACACGCCUUUCCAUUCCGAACAGGAAAGUUAAGCUCUAUAGCGCUGAUGGUACUUCACGGGUGACUGUGCGGGAGAGUAAGACGUUGCUAGGUU